rnacentral:lncRNA from 1 species
ACGGAAUACACAUAAUUUUUACAUACGGUGUGAUAAAAAAAGCUUUAGGAAUCCUUUCUUACUCGGUCUACAAUCCUCACAAAAAUUCAGAUAUAGUUUGAAUAAUUUUCUCGUUUACAACGGAAAAUAUACAUUCAUUUACGAAUAAUUUCGAAAAUUAUACAUGCAAAUAGAGGAAUAUAUUUUACCUUCGAACACGCAGUCCCGGUUGCCAGCAUCACCAUGCGCCAUCACAUAUGUGUCAUCAAAAAUGUCAGACACUGAUGAUCGAAUUAGUGUGCGUUGUCACAUGCGGUGCACCAACAUCAUAUUUAGUCG